ACUACCGAUAUUGAUUCGAUAUAAUAGUCAUUAAGCAACUGAAGUUCCUACAACCUGUUAAGCAGUUCCAACAGUCAGACUCACACGCAUGCACGCAGAGUCAAGGGACGUCACAUGUGUCAAUUGGGACGAAAAUACCAUCCAAGUGAUCUGGCUUAUGGCCACGCCAUUCCAAGUCCUUCCACCAACUCCUCUCCCCCCUGAUUUUCUUCA
rnacentral:lncRNA from 1 species